AUUGAACGCUGGCGGCAUGCCUAACACAUGCAAGUCGAGCGGAGCUGCGGACGGGUGAGUAAUGCCUAGGAAUCUGCCUGGUAGAGGGGGAUAACGUCCGGAAACGGGCGCUAAUACCGCAUCCUAUCAGAUGAGCCUAUGUCGUAUUAGCUAGUUGGUGGGGUAAAGGCCUACCAAGGCGACGAUCCGUAACUGGUCUGAGAGGGUGAUCAGUCACACUGGAACUGAGACACGGUCCAGACUCCUACGGGAGGCAGCAGUGGGGAAUAUUGGACAAUGGGCGAAAGCCUGAGCCAGCCAUGCCGCGUGAGUGAAGAAGGUCUUCGGAUUGUAAAGCACUUUAAGUUGGGAGGCGGUACCAACAGAAGAAGCCACGGCUAACUUCGUGCCAGCAGCCGCGGUAAUAC
rnacentral:rRNA from 1 species